GACGAACGCUGGCGGCGUGCUUAACACAUGCAAGUCGAACGGAAAGGCCCUGCUUUUGUGGGGUGCUCGAGUGGCGAACGGGUGAGUAACAAGUGAGUAACCUGCCCUUGACUUUGGGAUAACUUCAGGAAACUGGGGCUAAUACCGGAUAGGAGCUCGUGCUGCAUGGUGGGGGUUGGAAGGUUUCGGCGGUUGGGGAUGGACUCGCGGCUUAUCAGCUUGUUGGUGGGGUAGUGGCUUACCAAGGCUUUGACGGGUAGCCGGCCUGAGAGGGUGACCGGCCACAUUGGGACUGAGAUACGGCGCAGACUCCUACGGGAGGCAGCAGUGGGGAAUAUUGCACAAUGGGCGGAAGCCUGAUGCAGCAACGCCGCGUGCGGGAUGACGGCCUGCGGGUUGUAAACCGCUUUCGCCUGUGACGAAGCGUGAGUGACGGUAAUGAGUAAAGAAGCACCGGCUAACUACGUG
rnacentral:rRNA from 1 species